rnacentral:rRNA from 1 species
CCUACGGGAGGCAGCAGUGGGGAAUAUUGGGCAAUGGACGCAAGCCUGACCCAGCAACGCCGCGUGAAGGAAGAAGGCUCUCGGGUUGUAAACUUCUUUUAUCAGGGACGAAUCAAGUGACGGUACCUGAUGAAUAAGCCACGAUUAACUACGUGCCAGCAGCCGGGGUAAUACGUAGGUGGCAAGCGUUAUCCGGAUUUACUGGGUGUAAAGGGCGUGUAGGCGGGAAAGCAAGUCAGAUGUGAAAACACUGGGCUCAACCUGUGGCCUGCAUUUGAAACUGUUUUUCUUGAGUACUGGAGAGGCAGACGGAAUUCCUAGUGUAGCGGUGAAAUGCGUAGAUAUUAGGAGGAACACCAGUGGCGAAGGCGGUCUGCUGGACAGCAACUGACGCUGAGGCGCGAAAGCGUGGGGAGCAAACAGGAUUAGAUACCCUGGUAGUC